GCCUCGGUGGCUCCAAGGCGAGAGCGCCGGCCUACGGAUCCCCAGGUGGCGGGUUCGAAUCCCGACCGAGGUG
rnacentral:tRNA from 1 species